GCAAUGUUAAUGUUUGGUAAUAAUUGAAGGCUACGCAAAUGCACAAAAGUUUAAAAGCUAAAGUGAAACAAGGUGAGUUGAAUGGUGAUUUGAAUCAAUGUUCUUUUCUGUAGUUCUCAUCAAUAUCAACAUGUUAAAACAUGGAGUUCUUUUUUCAAAUAAAUUAUUUAAUUGUAGUAUAUAUUCAUUUUGAAAUCAGUGGCGUUCUUGCAAUCUGAUUAGCCAAAAAUAAUGUGAUUAUAAAUUUCGAAAUUGCGCCAUUUUGAGUAAUAAUUGCAUCUCUUGAGCUACAACUGCAUGAUCUCUUCAUUCUCUUGUAACUGCAUGCUGACAUGCACCAGACUGGAAAUUGAACAUCAAAACUAUGUGCACAGCGGUUUUGAUGUUUCCAAUCAAUCUUGUUCCCCGAGCCUGUGAUCCUCAGGAAGGAACGUGAGGCUCUGGGAUAAUCCGUUGCCGGAAGUCAGGAAUCCUGGCUAAGAUUGAACUGUGCAUUCCAUUUCAACGGCCAUCCAGAUUAAAACGUUCCAUCUGGGACUGUCCCGGGUUUGGACUAUGUUGUCCCGGUUUUCUUCUUGUUGUCCCGGUUUCUGUAGUAUUUUAAUAGUUUUAUUCUUCAAAUAAGGCUAAUGUGACAAAUAUUAAUGAAAUUCGUUUGGUUCAAUACAUAUUAAUGAAAUGGGAGCUUCUAGUUGCCCCGAACAAUUGCAGAGUUUGUCGCCGAUUGAUGUAAUUCUCUUUUGACAAUUUAGCGUUUGCUUUCAAUUCCUAAUCAUUUUGCCAGGGCUACAUGAAGUAAAGCAGCGUAACAGAAGCGGGCGCAAUAAUUACAGGCUCUUGAAUACGAGAUUUUUUGCGCAUAAUAUGCUAAAUGACCCUGAUUUUUUUAUUAUUACGCGGAAAACUAAUACGUGUGACUAAACUAAUUUUAUUAUACACCAAACAACCCAUUUAUAACCCAAAUAGACACCGCAUCAAUGAGAAAAGCACAGCAUUUAUUAGAGGGAGGAAAAUUGGUAAGUGUCCUGGUUUUGAGGACUCAGAGGUUGGAAUGUUUGCAGAUUCCUCCCUGAAACGGAUUAUCCCAGAGCCUCGCGUUCCUUCCUGAGGAUCGCAGACUCGGGGAAUGAGAUUGGGUGGCCAACCAUGCAGCAAUAUUGUUGGACAACCGUGCAGCAAUAUUAUCGUUUAAAACGAUAAGAAGCAAAGUAGUGACAAGAGUAGUGAUGUUGUGAAGUAAAUAGUACUUGAUAUUUGCUGUGUUGGUGUAAUGUGAAUAAGAUGCUUGUGUGAUAUUACUCUGAGUGUAUAUCCACACCGGGCAGGCUUGACCAGGCAUAUUUUUCACCGUGGCCAGGCAUAUUUUUCAAGCCUGCCCGGUGUGGAUAUACACUCAGACAUGACACAAGCAUAUUAAAUAGUGCUUGUAAACAAUAUCAAGAUUUUGUUACCAUCUCACUCAAUUGAAUAAUAGUUGAAUUGAAAUAUUGUGCAUUGAAAUUAUUGAGUGGAAAUUCAUAUACAUUUAUAAUUAGACCUAACCUUACCUGGAACAGCUGCGGAAAAUGCAACUUUAGGUCCCUGGUAGGAAUUGAACCCUGUGGUUCUGGUUCAGCGCUAUGUAUAAAUUUAUAUAUCUAUAUAUAUAUAUAUGUAUAUAUAUAUAUAUAUAUAUAUAUGUACUGUAUAUAAAUUUCCACUUGAUAAUUUCCAUCUACAAUAUCUUUCAACUAUUUUUUAAUUGAGUGAGAUGCCAACAAAAUAUUGAUAUUUAUAUAUAAAAUAUUGAUAUAUAUACAUGAACUUGUAGUUAGAGCUCGACAACUGGCCUCUGUAGCUCAGUUGGUUAGAGUGCUGCAACGGAAAUGCAGGGUCACACGUUCAAUUCCUGCCAGGGUCCUAAAGUUUUCACAACUACUGUAUUCCUGGUUAGGUCUAAUAAAUAUAUAUACUGUAAAUUUCCACUCAAUAAUUUCCAUCUACAAGACAUGUAAACAAUAGCACUACUUUCUACCACAAAAUUUCACUCCUUUCAAUUUUGUUGUUGCCAUCUAGUUUCCCCUUUGCAGUUCGGAACCCAAGAAUGGGGUGUACAAGUUCCGGACGCGUCUUGUCAGUGUAAUUAAUCGUUAUAACCAAAAAAUCUGACGAUGUCUCUAGUUAACCCAUUGAGCCACAAUGCGCCCCAGUGCGCCAUACUUUUUUUUUACUUGUCUAACACCAGACAAUUUUACUUGUCAAUGGGGGAAGCUCUGCAGCUAAUUAAUGGGUUAAGUAUGAUGCCUUGAAUUAUGGCACAUCUUCAUCUUGGCUGUUUCACUUGGGAAUUUUCAUUGCAAAAUUUUUCCAGUUAAUCAAGGCUGUAAUUGAAUCAUUGAUGAAUAUAGAUGCUCCUAAAUUGGAAUUUUUCCUACAUGAUAAGUUUCUUACAUAAAUCCAAGAUCAAUUUUCCAUUUGAACCACUAUUCGCACUCUUCUGAAUUCUGGUGCUGUAGUUUUUAUUUUUUAAGAUCCACAGAUCCAGUCUAUGUAUCACUCCCUGCGAUUCCGGUACAGUGUUCUAACCAAUUGAGCUACAGUUCCAUGUAACUGCAAGUUCAAGUAAAUAUACUAAGGUGAUGUCUGGUAAGGCAUACAUAUUAUAUGGAGUAUCAUGGAUAAAUAUCAAGAUCUGGCAUCUCACUUGAUUGAACUUAUAAAUGUUGAAGUUGCAUGUGAAAGCAUCAUUGGUCUCAAGCUCAGUGGUCAGAGUGCUGCACCAGAACUACAGGCUUGAUUCCUACAUUGUGGGUCUAAAAUACAGUAUGUUGCUUAAAGUUUGUAAUUCAAUCAAUCAAUAUUUAUUUAGCCACAUAUAAUAUUACAGAACAUACAGAAAAUGGUUAGUAUGUUUCUAUGGAGAAUAUAGCAAGUAAUAUAUUAUUAAUGGUAAGGCGACAUGUAGAAACCAUCAGGCUUGUUUAACGGAUGCUUCCUUCAGUGUCAAGAGAAAAAGGAAGCAACACGCAACAACAAAAUCAACUAUGCAUUCAGUCAGUAAAUAUAUUUUUGAUUCCAUUCCAGAAGCAAUUAAAGUCUCUGUCAGAUAUAAAUUUCCUGGAAGCAAAUUCCACAGUUUAGGACCUAGCUUGGAAAAGUAUUGUGUUUUGUUGUAGUUUUACAUGAAUGUAUUUGAUAUAAAUAGCAUUUCUUGCAUUAUAACUAUGAAUUCCGUCACUUGUGCUGAACAAAUGAAGGAAAGAAGGAGGAAGUAACUGUUUAUGAUAAAGAUGCACGAAUUUACUCUACAUGGACGAAUUUCCUGGGGGGCUGCAGGGGAGUGCGCACUCCUCAAAAUUAUUUUGCACCCCCCCAAAAAAAAUUAUUUCCCACCCCACCCAGAGCAAUUUGGACACCCCCCCCAAAAAAAUCUCAUUGGGACAAAUGACAGAUUUUGAAUUAAGACUAUAAACAACCCCCCGAGCAAAAUAUAAAAAUCCGUCUAUGUGAAUUUAGCGAUGUAGAACGAGUUGAUCUUAUAAAUGUCAAGUAUAUUCAACCUGUCAAAAAGAGGAGCAGUAUGUGAAAGAAAGUUGGAAUAAUUGGUCAUGCAAAAUUUCCACCAUAACCCUUCAACACAUAUACAGUAUUAUUAUAUGGCUUUUCAAGCGGUCCGCAAAAACCCAUAUCCGGACCGUGGUCCGUAUUUUCCGUAUCUAGCCCGGUGUCCCGGAUGUCGUUUAUCUGGCGGGAAAUUUUUGCUUUGCAAACAGAAAAAAAUUUUGCUUUUUAAUUUUCCAAUUGUGUGUCAUUAAUACUUACAGAUAAAAAUUUCAAACAACCAAAUUGUUUUUGAUUGAGCAUGCAUGCAUACCGUAUAUUGUUACCCAGUGAAACUGAUGAUAGCCGAUUUAAUUCGCGCGAAAAGCAUAUGCUCACAGACUCAGUUCAGCCAUACCGAUUAUUGACCUUGCUUGUUCUAUCUGUACUGUGAAAUAUCAGACCUCUGUUUUUUUGCAUGGACCUUGCUCCUUCGUCGCUCGGUCCAUACUAAAAAACCUCGGUCUGAUAUUUCACAGUACAGACCUCACGCUCGGUCAAUAAGCCGUUAGUAUAUAAUACAGUCCUUAAUGGUAGGAUGAGCAUGGGGAAAUACUAGUUCACAGGGCUGCCAAGAGGUUGACCGGGACCUGGGACAAAAUGCCUCCCUCUCUCUCGGUGGCCGUGCUAGUGUACAUCUCCAUUUAUUGGUCUGCAUUUGAUAAAAAUUAUGUAAUAUUAGCACUAACAGCGUCAAAUUAAUGUCCUUUUUGCUGCCAUACAGUAUACUGUAUGUUGAUAAUUUUACUAUGUACAGUUCCGCAAAAUACGGUCAUAAUAAGUUGCAGUCUGUUAAUGGUCCAUCAUUUAUUGAGUCUAAAGCGUAAAAGUGGAAAAGAGCCCUAACUCUUAUAUUUUAUUAAAAGAUCUAGGAACUGAGGACGACAAAGUUCGCAUAGAAAGCAGUUUACCACCGGAAGUGAAAGGGCAACUGCGAUGUUUUCUUGCGGUAACAGUGGAUGAAAUAAAAUGGCAAGUAAACAAUCAUCCCAAAGAUAUUCAAGUGUGUCUACAAUGGUGGGGAGAGACAGGAGAUGGAACCAUGUUUUGG
rnacentral:lncRNA from 1 species